CAGUAGCCGCGGUAAAACGUAGGUGGCGAGCGUUGUCCGGAAUCAUUGGGCGUAAAGGGAGCGCAGGCGGGCAUGUAAGUCUUUCUUAAAAGUUCGGGGCUCAACCCCGUGAUGGGAAAGAAACUACAUGUCUUGAGUACAGGAGAGGAAAGCGGAAUUCCCAGUGUAGCGGUGAAAUGCGUAGAUAUUGGGAGGAACACCAGUGGCGAAGGCGGCUUUCUGGGCUGCAACUGACGCUGAGGCUCGAAAGCCAGGGGAGCGAACGGGAUUAGAUACCCCAGUAGUCCCUGUCUCUUAUACA
rnacentral:rRNA from 1 species